AUAGAAUAUUUAAACAUGUGAGGGUUGUCAUGGAUGGGUGCAGUAACUAACAAUAAUAAAUAUCCGACUCUAUGUGUUAGAAUAAUCAUUUAAAAAAACAUGCACAAAGCCACUUUUUUAUCUAGAAUACUGUAAGUCAUUUCAUCAUAACAUAGCAUGUUUUUUAUGAUGUAGAUUCACUUGUAAUAGCAUGCCAAUAAGGGAUACAAAAAAGAGUAUAGGUGUUGUGUUUCUCAAAAAGGAAAAACAUUACCAAAUGUCUAAAAACUGGAAGUGUAUGACAGUAGUAAGCUAUCUGUAAGCAUGAUUUUCACUCUCUAAAACCAGGUUGGUCCUCCACUUUGAUAAAAAUUAAUGCUUUUUGUUGUUUGAGUGGGAUUCGAUAGAAUAACUUUAAUAAUUUAGACAGCCAUACUGGCUUUCAAGAUCAAGGUUUGAAGAAUGUGUUAAUUUUUCACCAAAUUUUUGGUACUAAUUUAUAUAAAUAUCUCACAAAAUCCCACAAACCUGAGAUGCACCAUCUCUACCACAAAUCUCAGCUUGUGGACUAAAUAUAUUUGUCCAUUAGACUAACUGGACCCUUCUCAGUCAUUUUUUCAGUUUCCCCUUUCUCUGUUCUUAAAGAAGAUGAAGGCAAAUCCAUGUUUUCUGAAACAGUUUUUCCUUGAACAAACAGACAAGUCUGUGAUGCCUCCAUUUGAUCACCCAAUAUUUGUAGAUUAAUGAGUUUAUACGAGUUAGGCCAUUCUAUGAGAUUCUUGCCUUUUAAUAUGGGAAGGUUAAUUUUCAAAAGCUGAUUGCCAGAGCAUUUAAUAAUUCUAUUGAGUCAGAGUCAAUUCACUUCGACAUUAUGACUGUGCUUCUUCUCAAUUACUACUACUUAUUUAGAUGCCUAUUUACUGAUCUUCAUCUUCAUAUUCAUGACCUGGUUCAACCUUUGAAUUUGGAGGCAUAAAUGCUGAGUGAUUAUUGUUAUAUUCUGUUGCUUGCUUUCAAGUCAAAAAUUUAUUUGGCUGUUUGAGUGUAACAGAAAUAUAUUGUAUUUCAAUAGAGGUUAUUGCCUACAUAUCGCUCUGCAUUGUAUUUGUAUGUACAUUUUUUGUUGUACAUACACAAGGGGACCACAAGUGACUGAGUUUGUGUCAUAGUUUUUAAUUUUUCUGAUGAGUGUUUGUUUUAAUUUUGGUUUUAUUACAAUAUGAACGGAGUAUACCCAUUUUAGCCAUUAAAUAUGGCCAUGCAUAUGUAAAUAGGAAGAAUUUUGUAUGCGGAAGUUUCUGUGUAAGGUCUUGAAGAGGGUUUUUUCAAUUGUACUGGAUGUGCUAAAAAACAUUUUAGCCCGAGAAACCAACACUGUGACAUUUUAUUUGAUUUUCAUGUAAGUUUCCAAUUGCAACCAUGGCCAACAAUUCACAUUCUAGCCGAGCAUGUGAUAUGAAUACGGACUAUCUAUUGUUGUAGGCUUUUGUUGUCGACUUUAUAUUCCAUCUACCUCUUUUAGACUUGAUUUACCUUUCAAUCUUUUAAAAUUGAAAGGUACACUUGGGAGAUUUCUCUUAACCAAUUUUGUGGUUGAAUGUAUUUCAGAACCUCCUCCUGAUAGUACUUCAUAGUUUAAACAUAACAGAAAAAUAAUAACCCGUCCAUACUUAUAUGUAUUUAUUGAGUGUGUGUGUGUGUGAUUGUUUGGCUGAACUAUUUAUAGUAAUGAAUUAUAACACGAUGUUUGAAUAUGAAACAUAUAUUAUAUAAUGCUGAGAAUUUAUAAUAGACAUCAAGCCAUAUCAAUCCCCCGACAUCAAGAGACAUUUAACUACAUUCCAACAUCGGUGAGUGCUAUUUUCCCCCAAAUCUUAUCGUGCUCCACAUGCUAGUUACUUCUUUGCCUUGCCUUAUGAUAAUUAUAACUUCAAUAUCAAAACCACUCAUUCAUUAUUCUUUUUAUUAGAUGGACAAAAGCUGGAUGACUUUGGGUGAUAGACUUCUAUCACCUGCUUACGCUGAAGGGGUUAACAAUUUACUUACAAUGGCACAAAACCAUGCCAUGGGAAGUGAUUGCAUUCAGUAUCCCUGUCGUAUAUGCUGAAAUAAUCUCUUAUUGCCUAUACUUGAGGUGGAGUCUCACUUGUUCAUAAAAGAGAUAGAUCCAAAUUACACCCACUGGAUAUUUCAUGGGGAGGAGGAAAUACUCCCCACCAUUGACGAUGAUGGCAAUCCCGUGGUUGAAAGUGGAGAUGUGUACAUUGAUAACAUGGACCGUAUGUUAGAUGACAUACAGGCAGCCACAUUCGGAGAUGCUCCUCAAGACAACACUACAUCACCAACUCACUCAGCAAUACGACAGGCCUCCCCAAACUCAACUUUUGACCAACUAUUAGAGGAUGCCCGAUGUCCUCUUUUCGAGGGCUACACAAAUUUCUCAAAGAUCUCUUUCGUUGUGAAGUUGUUACACAUUAAAACAUUUGGUGGGUGGUCAAUCAAGUCUUUUGAUAUGCUCCUAAGCCUUUUGCGGUUAGCCUUUCCUGAUGCUGAAUUGCUACAAUCAUAUAAAGAGACAAUGACAUUGGAGCAAGGUUUGGGUUUCACGUACCACAAAAUACAUGCAUGCCCUAAUGAUUGCAUCUUAUUCUGAAACAAAAAUUCUAAUCUUAAUGAGUGUCCUAUCUGUAAGGCGUUGUGAUGGAUGCCAAAUACACACUGUCACGAGUGAUCCCUCAAAAAGCGCUUCUGUAUUUUCCUUUGAAGCCAAGAUUGCAGCGUCUCUUUGUGUCAAGCAAGAUAGCGGGUGACAUGAGAUGGCAUAAAGAGCAGCGGGUCACCGAUGAGACUAGUAUGAGACAUCCUACUGAUUCUGAGUCUUGGAAGACAUUUGAUCAAGCUCAUAGUUGGUUUGCAAGAGAUGCUCGCAAUGUGAGGCUCGGUUUGGCAAGCGAUGGGUUCAAUCCCUUUAACAAUCUGGCUAAACCUUAUAGCAUUUGGCCAGUGAUUCUUGUCCCGUAUAACUUACCGCUGUGGUUAUGCAUGAAAGAUUUGUUUUUCAUGACAUCCCUCAUUAUCCUUGGCCCAAAAUCACCAAGAAUAACAUUGAUAUUUAUUUGCAACCGUUAAUUGAUGAGUUACUUGAACUUUAGGAACAUGGGGUACCUACAUAUGAUGCAUCCACUAAGGAAAUAUUCAUGUUACAUUCUGCCUUGUUGUGGACAAUCAAUGACUUUCCUGUCUAUGAAAAUCUGUCUGGGUGGUCAACAAAAGAGAAAUUGGCAUGUCUGUCUUGCAAUGCAAGUAUAGAUUCCAAUUGGUUGAAGUAUGGUAGAAAACAUUGUUAUAUGGGACAUCGACAUCUCUAUCCAGCUAUCACAUUUGGCGAACGAGAAAAUGAUUAUUCAACGGUAAAGAAGAUCUUCGCAUGCCACUAACAUUGGUUGAAGGAGCGGAUCUUUUAACUUAGUUACAAAUGCUUGGAGAUAUUCAAUUUGGAAAAUUUUGUAGGAAGAGAAAACACACUGCAAAAGAGUUGAACUAGACAAAGAAAAGCAUCUUCUUCAAACUACUUUAUUGGUCAACAAUGCGGCUUAGAUAUAAUUUAGAUGUUAUGCAUAUUGAGAAGAAUAUUUUCGAAAACAUAUUGGGCACUUUAAUAAACAUUCCCGGUAAGACAAAAGAUAACACUAAUUCACAGCAUGAUCUAGAGAUCUUGGGCUUUAGAAAGGAAUUACAUUUGAAACGUAAAGGUGAACGAACUAGAAUGCCAUAUGCAUCAUACACAUUACAUGGAGAUGAAAGGAAUAAAUUUUGUGAGUGGCUUGCUGAGGUUAAAUUUCCAGAUGGGUUUGCUGCUAAUAUCACACACUGUGUAUAUGUACGUGAUUCCAAGAUCUUUGGGCUCAAAAGCCAUGACCAUCAUGUUUUCUUGCAAACAUUACUUCCUAUUGCUGUUGGGGGGGGGUUCUUAAGGAGGGAUAGCUUUGACUGAACUUAGUAGUUUCUUCAAAGAGUUGUGCGCCUGAACACUAGAUGUGAAUCGCCUAUCAAAGCUUCAGCUUGAUAUCGUCACCAUUCUAUGUAAACUGGAGAUGAUUUUCCCUCAAUCUUUUUUCGAUGUUAUGGUCCACCUAGCUGUUCAUUUAUCCCGUGAGGCUAUUCUUGGAGGUCCAGUUCAAUAUCGGUAGAUGUACCCGUUUGAGAGGUAUCUUGGUAAGUUUAAGCGGUAUGUUAAGAACAAAGCGCGUCCAAAAGGUUCAAUAGCGGAAGCCUGGGUUCACAUUGAGUGUUUGCCAUUUUGCUCGAUGUAUCUCUAAGAUGUUGAGACGAAGUUUAAUCGACCGGACCGUAACAUUGAUGGUGUAGAAGAGGAGACUCUAGAUGGGUUGAAAAUUUUCAACCAGAAACUUCGUCCCUUGGGUAUAGCUAAUAGUGUGCAAUUAGACGAUAAACUCCAUACAACAGCCAUUUGGUACGUGCUUAACAACUGCAUUGAGAUUGGACCCUAUUUGGAGUAAGCAAUCAUUACUUUCUUCGUGCUUUCUCGAAACAACCUACUACCUUACCAUUUAAUUGACGUCACUGACUAAUUUUGUUUCUCCCAUUGUGUUCUAUAAAUGCAGUGAACACUACUACAAAUGCAAGGUGUCAAACUCAAAUUCUAUUGAUUGCACGCAAUAAACUGAGUUUCCAAAUUGGUUCAAGCAACAUGUAAGUUAGCUUGUUAGUUAUCUACUUAGAAUAUACCCGACCCGCAUAUGACAAUGUAUAGUGAAACUAUAAGUUCACGAUUUGCCCCGAUAUUCAUAUAGGUGGUGGACCAGCGUAACAACAAUCCACUUGAUGUGUCCCCAAAUUUGUAUGCGUUAGCUUGCGGUCCUGAUCGUUGGGUUGCAACAUAUGCUGCCUGUAUUAUAAAUGGUAAACGGUUCCAUACGAAGCCUCGUGAACUUCACCGGCGUUCACAAAAUUCCAGGGUGUUGGUAACUGGUGACCAAGAUACUAAUAAUGUAGAUUUUUAUAGUGUUAUAAAAGAUGUUGUGGAAUUACACUACAUGGGAGGUAGUAGAGUGUACUUGUUCAGUUGUGAUUGGUUUGAUGUUGGUGAUAAAAAAUGAGGGGUACGAGUAGAUGAUCAUUUAACUAGUGUUAAUAUGAAUAGGACUUGGUAUAAGGAUGAACCAUAUGUGCUGACAUGCCAGGCUUCCCAGUGUUUUUACAUUAGGGAUAUAAGGGCGAAAGGGAACUGGUUUUUUGUGCAGAAAUAUAAUAAUAGGAAUGUGUAUGACAUUCCACCAGUGCACAGGGUUUUAGACGGUAAUGAUGGCGAAUCAAGUGACGAUGAUGCCUAUCAAGAGAUUGAGUCAUCAUAUGAUUAACCACUUUUGCAUUGUGAUGCAUGUCCAGUGUCAACUCCACUUAGUAGGACUGAUAUAGAACCUACCCAUAUUGAUGCACGAGACCACAUGGAGUCGGGUGGUGCACGCAGAAAUUCACCAGAUUUUAUUGAUGAUGGCAUGGUUCCAUCUGGUUCUGGAGAUACUUAUGGUGAUUGGGAGUAUUCAGAUAAUGAGAACCCAUCCACUGAGGAAGAGUCUGACUCAAAAUAGGCAACUGCCAACAUAAUUCGGUAAGGGUGAAUUCUCAUAAUCAAAACAUAUGAAUAUCUAUAUUAUAAACGCUAACAUUUGAAUAAUCGGCUGCCAAUUUGUUAGAAGCAUGAACUUGCAUUUGACUUGAUUAUUAUUUAAACCAUACCAGCAUUUAUAAACCACAUAUUUGGGUACUGCAUAUUCAGCCAUACUCGACAAGUCUUAUUAAUUUAAUGCAUUAUCUUAUUAGAAGGUGAGCUUAUAUUUGUAUUACAUGUCUCUUGAGGUACAUUGAUGACAGACAUUAUUAAUCCAUCUCUGGUUGGGUUCGAAAGAAGAACAAGUUUGAUGUCGUGUUCUUAAAAAAUCCAUUGCAAUCGUAUCUCAAAAUUAGUCGUUCACGAGGAGCAUGGGCCCAGGUGACCCAGUGGGAGCCAAUGGUCAAGGUCGGCCCAGAGGCCGAGGAUUCUGUGGUAGAAGACUUGUGCCUUAUUCAUGCCAAGCUCGCCGGCCACGCAGUGUUCGGAUUAGUUCAUACCAUAGUCCAGGAGAUGUGGACGAGGCUAGCUCUGAUGACUCUACCCAACUCCCAAGUCAUCCAUGGGAGCCACCAUGUGCGACCACACCACUGGAGCCCGAGCCUAACAGAGUCACCUCACCCAGUAUAAGGUUGGAGCUUGAUAGAGAUCAAAUCGUAGUGGAUGCCCCCACGGAGCCACACAGAGUGACCUCACUCGACAUUCCACCAAAGCUUGUUGGAGAUGGUGUUGGCAUGAGGACAGUUACAACGAUGUUGAGAGUAUUAGCAAGGAAAAAAAUUUGCUGGUAAAGAGCCUAACAGAGUGACCUCACCCAAUAUAGAGCUAGAGUCUGCUGGAGUUCAAAUCGGUGAGGACACCCCCACAAAGCCUGUACAAAACUAGGCACAAAGGAGAUGUGGACGUGGGCCAGCCAAGUGCACUGAAUUUGAAAAAUUGCAGAAGUAUGGAAAUGUGCUAUUGAAGAUAAAUAAUGGAGAAACCGCACCAUGAUGUUCAAACGCCAACAUGUUUACAACACGAGUUACGUGGAUAGUUAAACAUCACUGUGACAUGAGUUAUACAAGAUGGAGUGAUGUACCCCAAGCACAUAAGGAUGCGUUAAUCGAUCGUGUUCAGGUAAGACUUUUCACUUUCAUGUUGGUGGGUUGAAAGUGGUUGUAGUAAAUAUUGAUGACAUCACAUACAUUUGAUUAUAUAUGUAGGGUGAUUUUGAACUUAAUUGGGAAUUGAAGAACCAUCGAUUGACAGUAACGAAACAGUUUCGGUAGAGAUUUAAUGCAUUCCACCAUGAAUUGCAUAACAUAUAUUUAUCCUAUGGCAGCCACGAUGAAGCAUUAACUAGUGGGACUAAAUGAGUCAGCCCCCUUGUUUGGGUUAAGCUAUGUACAAGAUGGGGUAGCGAGGCCUUCAAGAUUCCUGACUAUGUGUUAUAUAUACACAUUCCACACACAUGUAGAGGGCUGAAUCGGCGAAUUUGGUAGACUUCUUCAAGGAAACCCACUGGUCCAAGAAGAAUUCAAAAUUUGUAACACCUACCACCGAAGACAAAUAUAAAGAUAUGGUUGGAAAGCUAGAUAGUCUAGUACCAGAGCAACGAACUGAUGAAGCAGCAGCGGGUGUCUUCAGAGAGGUACUUGGUCAUAGACCACGUUAUGCAAGAGGAUUAGGAGAGAUGGUAAUCCCAGAGUUUACGAGACAACGCUCAUUGGCACGAGAGAAAGAGUACAUAGCUUUGAUUGAAAAAUAUAAGAAAGAGGCUGAAUCUUCUAAGAGUGAGAUGGAGGCAAUGAAGGCAAACAUGCAGAAGCUGUUGGAGAGACAAGAGGAAACAGACUGCCUAUUGAGGGCUUUCUUCACUGCUAACCCGUCCCUUAGUGAGUCUCUUCGAGAGACUCAAUGAGCGGGUUUUUGUGAGAAGAUAUGAAAAGGUUUUUUGUGGCUUUUUGGGUGCAUAUUUUGUCGUUCCAAUGGUGGAUAGACAAUAUAUAUAUCCGAUGGAAGGUUAGAUGUAUAUGUUUUGUAGGAGCACGCUGGGUUGGGCAAAGCUUAAUUUUUGGGCUCUUUGAGAUAUCCUUAAUUAUAUAUGAUAGUUUAGGCAACCUACAUGGGAUGAUAUUAAGCUAUGUGGUAAUAUCAAACAGGUAAAUAUCUAAGCCACCACUAUCUUAUUACUUAUAACAUAUUUUCUUGGCAUG